rnacentral:rRNA from 1 species
CUCCGGUUGAUCCUGCCGGACCCGACUGCUAUCAGAGUGGGACUAAGCCAUGCGAGUCAACAUAGCAAUAUGUGGCAUACGGCUCAGUAACACGUAGUCAACAUGCCCAGGGGACGAGGAUAACCUCGGGAAACUGAGGAUAAACCUCGAUAGGCCAUGAUUUCUGGAAUGAUUCUUGGCUCAAACCUAUAUGGCCCCUGGAUUGGACUGCGGCCGAUCAGGCUGUUGGUGAGGUAAUGGCCCACCAAACCUAUUACCGGUACGGGCUCUGAGAGGAGGAGCCCGGAGAUGGGCACUGAGACAAGGGCCCAGGCCCUAUGGGGCGCAGCAGGCGCGAAACCUCUGCAAUAGGCGAAAGCUUGACAGGGUUACUCUGAGUGAUUUCCGCUAAGGGAAUCUUUUGGCACCUCUAAAAAUGGUGCAGAAUAAGGGGUGGGCAAGUCUGGUGUCAGCCGCCGCGGUAAUACCAGCACCCCGAGUGGUCGGGACGAUUAUUGGGCCUAAAGCAUCCGUAGCCGGUCCUGCAAGUCUUCCGUUAAAUCCAGCUGCUCAACAGAUGGGCUGCGGGAGAUACUACAGGGCUAGGAGGCGGGAGAGGCAAGCGGUACUUUAUGGGUAGGGGUAAAAUCCGCUGAUCCAUUGAAGACCACCAGUGGCGAAGGCGGCUUGCCAGAACGCGCUCGACGGUGAGGGAUGAAAGCUGGGGGAGCAAACCGGAUUAGAUACCCGGGUAGUCCCAGCUGUAAACGAUGCAGACUCGGUGAUGAGUUGGCUUAUUGCUAACUCAGUGCCGCAGGGAAGCCGUUAAGUUUGCCGCCUGGGGAGUACGGUCGCAAGACUGAAACUUAAAGGAAUUAGCGGGGGAGCA